CCUACGGGAGGCAGCAGUGAGGAAUAUUGGUCAAUGGACGAGAGUCUGAACCAGCGAAGUAGCGUGAAGGAUGACUGCCCUCUGAGCUGUAAACUCUUUUUAUAUGGGAUUACAAUGUCUCACGUGCUGGACUUUGUAUGUACCAUAUGAACAAGGAUCGGCUAACUUCGUGCCAGCAGCCGCGGUAAUACGGAGGAUCCGAGCGUUAUCCGGAUUUAUUGGGUUUAAAGGGAGCGUAGGUGGAUUGUUAAGUCAGUUGUGAAAGUUUGCGGCUCAACCGUAGAAUUGCAGUUGAAACUGGCAGUCUUGAGUACAGUAGAGGUGAGCGGAAUUCGAGGUGUAGCAGUGAAAUGCUUAGAUAUCACGAAGAACUCCGAUUGCGAAGGCGAUUCACUGGACUACAACUGACACUGAGGCUCGAAAGUGUGGGUAGCAAACAGGAUUAGAUACCCGAGUAGUC
rnacentral:rRNA from 1 species